rnacentral:rRNA from 1 species
CAGUCGCUGCGGGAAUACGUAGGGCGCAAGCGUUAUCCGGAAUUAUUGGGCGUAAAGAGCUCGUAGGCGGUUUGUCGCGUCUGCCGUGAAAGUCCGGGGCUCAACCCCGGAUCUGCGGUGGGUACGGGCAGACUAGAGUGAUGUAGGGGAGACUGGAAUUCCUGGUGUAGCGGUGAAAUGCGCAGAUAUCAGGAGGAACACCGAUGGCGAAGGCAGGUCUCUGGGCAUUAACUGACGCUGAGGAGCGAAAGCAUGGGGAGCGAACAGGAUUAGAUACCCGAGUAGUCCCUGUCUCUUAUAC